GGCCUAGUAGCACAUGGUGUGCAUCUACUUCAUUUAAAUGACAUUUCCACGCACUAUGUGUAGAAGGUCCCCGUUCGACUCGGGGCUGGGCCA